rnacentral:rRNA from 1 species
GAUGAACGCUGGCGGCGUGCCUAAUACAUGCAAGUCGAGCGAACGGACGAGAAGCUUGCUUCUCUGAUGUUAGCGGCGGACGGGUGAGUAACACGUGGAUAACCUACCUAUAAGACUGGGAUAACUUCGGGAAACCGGAGCUAAUACCGGAUAAUAUUUUGAACCGCAUGGGUCAAAAGUGAAAGACGGUCUUGCUGUCACUUAUAGAUGGAUCCGCGCUGCAUUAGCUAGUUGGUAAGGUAACGGCUUACCAAGGCAACGAUGCAUAGCCGACCUGAGAGGGGGAUCGGCCACACUGGAGCGGAGACACGGUCCAGACUCCUACGGGAGGCAGCAGUAGGGAAUCUUCCGCAAUGGGCGAAAGCCUGACGGAGCAACGCCGCGUGAGUGAUGAAGGUCUUCGGAUCGUAAAACUCUGUUAUUAGGGAAGAACAUAUGUGUAAGUAACUGUGCACAUCUUGACGGUACCUAAUCAGAAAGCCACGGCUAACUACGUG